GGAUAAUUAUACUCUAUGAUAAACACUUCUCCGCUGCAUUUCAACUUUCAAAAACCGCUAGCUGAAGUUACAAUAAGUUUUUGAGUACUGUUAAUGCUGUAGUGAGAAAUUAAAAAAAAAUUCUACGGUAUGAACAGGAAAACACGCUUGAGAAUCCGGCAAUCUAUGCGGCCUUUGAAAACUUAGUCUUGAGAGAGCAAUGCGUUUAAGAAUUAAUGUUUCUAUAACACAUAUGGAGCCAAUAGUGGAUAAGGGAUAUUUUCCUGCCUACUCACCAUUUGUGUUAAAACAAUCAUGUUCACACACUUCGAAUGAGCCGAUAUGAAGAUUUGGAAGCCAAAACCAAGUCGAACUUGUGUCGAAUGAGCUAGCGUGAUUUCAAGGUCCAAGGUUCACAUCUCAAGCUUCAUUGAGUUCAUUCCGCGUGAGUGUGCCUUAGUGCCAGCACGUAGGGCUGUGCUAACAUCUAACUGGUAAAGGAAGAAAUCAACGCUGCACUGCAUUCUGGUCAUACUGUCGCACUAAGGAGGGACUGCUCUGCUCUCGUUGGGCGUGGCUUUCUCUGCGGGAUGCACUCCGACCGUCACAUGGCGAGCUGGGAGGAUGUGAAAUGAAUACUUUUCAAUCAAGUUACAAAAUUAACCUGAAGUAAGUACCUGGUUUGUUUGGACCUACAACUUAGGGCAGUGACUCCUGAGUACA